AGGAUGAACGCUAGCGGCAGGCUUAAUACAUGCAAGUCGAGGGGCAGCAUAGGUAGCAAUACUUGAUGGCGACCGGCAAACGGGUGCGGAACACGUACGCAACCUUCCUUUAAGUGGAGAAUAGCUUUCGGAAACGAAAAUUAAUACUCCGUAAUAUUAUGAGAUGGCAUCAUCUUAUGAUUAUAGAUUUAUCGCUUAAAGAUGGGCGUGCGCCUGAUUAGGUAGUUGGCGGGGUAACGGCCCACCAAGCCUUCGAUCAGUAACUGGCGUGAGAGCGCGACCAGUCACACGGGCACUGAGACACGGGCCCGACUCCUACGGGAGGCAGCAGUAAGGAAUAUUGGUCAAUGGACGCAAGUCUGAACCAGCCAUGCCGCGUGGAGGAUGAAGGUCCUCUGGAUUGUAAACUUCUUUUAUUUGGGACGAAAAAAGAUCAUUCCUGAUCACUUGACGGUACCAGAUGAAUAAGCACCGGCUAACUCCGUGCCAGCAGCCGCGGUAAUACGGAGGGUGCAAGCGUUAUCCGGAUUUACUGGGUUUAAAGGGUGCGCAGGCGGAUAUGUAAGUCAGUGGUGAAAUCUCUAGGCUUAACCUGGAAAUUGCCGUUGAUACUAUAUAUCUUGAAUGCUGUGGAGGUAAGCGGAAUAUGUCAUGUAGCGGUGAAAUGCUUAGAU
rnacentral:rRNA from 1 species